AGUAUCAUAUUACAUCCUAAUCAGUAACACCCCCCACCCCCAGUAUACAAGCACAAAAUAUAGCAGCUAUACCAAUCGAAAUAUAACCAAGAUAUUCUCAAAAGAAGCCGAGUACUAACAAAAUUUGUUUUGAAUAUGUCUGGAUUUGGGUGAAUAAGGGAGAAAGAAGACAUUCACCUUGUUCGGAUUGCUUAAAGAUUCCUCGUUGACCAGUACCUCCAGCCCACACGCGCCGUCGGCUGGGGCAAGGAUCACCGUUCCUACGAGUUCCCCGGUCCCAAGAAGGAAGUGGAGGAUUAGCUCGUGGUCGCCGGAUUCAAGCGCAGGUAAUCUAUCAGAUUCAGGGUUCAAAGGUAGACACCAUGAGAAAGUUUGGUAGCAGCAAUCUUGCAAAUAUCUGUAUGCUUAGAAAGAAUUUGUUUGCAGGAAAGAUAAAAAGGACUUGAUGGAGACCCAUAUCGAGGGCAUAACGUACUGAGAAUUAAGCAGCUAGAAACAAGAUUUAUAUGGAGAUGUUAUUGCUGUUGAAGCUCCUAUAUUUUAGAAAACCAAACCUCAGAGAAUGUUCUGAACUGAUUACUGGAACUAGUUACACUGGUAACAAUUGGUUGCAUGCUUCAUUACUGGAAAAUAUGUUAUGCUUUGAGCAAUUUAGUAAAACUCAAUUGCCUCGUCCAAGGAUGAUUCGCUACGAGUAUGUUGUUUCUUCAUGUAUUAUAACUCAUUAUUGAGAAUAUAUAUUGUUUCUUCAUGUAUUAUGACUUACUUUGACCUGCGUAGAUAUUCCACCAAAUAAUUUCAAGUGUUCAUCACGCAGACACCUUUAGCCUCUUGCUUCUCAUUGAAGAGUUUCUGAGAUGAAAUCUUCGAGUCAAUGUUGAGAGACAGGAUUUGAUGAAUUGCUAGCAACCGUUAUGCGACCUGAACGAGAAGCAAUCUCUUUGUGGGUGUGUUGCAGGUAAGGAGAUGCCAGCAAAAGCAAAAGUUCCAGAAAGAGUUUGCAGUCUGUCUCUGUCAUAAGAAGGUUGUUAAUUCAAAUACGUGCAUCAUUUUCUUCGCUAAGGUUACUGCAUUUAGUUUCAACAAAGGUUUUGAUGGACAAAUUAUGGUAUUGAUCCGAACCUUAUUUUCAUGUUAAAAAAAAAAGCUUGUUUGCUUGAUUGAAGAUUGAUUACGGUCACGGUUGUUGAAAAUGUCUGAUGGUUUUUUUCCUAUUAAAACAGGUGUUAGAAUUUAUUUAUGGUCACCAUGGCCGUGGAAGCCAGUAAAUUAUCAACUAAUAUGUUAUUGGGAAAGCUUAAGUCUCUGGAGGAUGUAUCCACUACAGACGGAGCUUACUCUCUGUUUGUCGCAGAAAUGUGUAUUUACGAGCUUUCAUUUAUUAGGAAAAGAAUUCAUAUAGUAUCUGUAGAAAAUCAUAUAGAUAUGCGUAGCCAAACACAAUCCUUAAAACUGGUGCUUAGUAACAGUUCAACUUCAAAAUUUUUAUUGGCACACAUGCCUUUGUCUUGAUUUUCUAACUAAGCCAUUUGUUGCAAUUUUCGACUUCCCUGUAAGAUUUUCUUUGCAGGGCUCUCAUAGGAAAAAAAUUUCCCCAAUUAGGCUGUUUGUUGUUAGCAGUUCAAACACUUUGCUGCACUAAAUAAUUUGCUGACAGUUGUGCUUGUAGAGUGUGCUGUGGAAUUACUCGUAUAGACUUGCUGACAUGCAGGAGUCUGGGCUACACAGCUCCUCAUGUUGGAGAUAGGUUAUCGUAGUUCUCAUUUCUAGCUGAAGUUUGGUUUUGGCGAAUAGUAAGAUAGUAAGAUGCAAGACCCCAGUCAUUUUUUCCGGUUAUUUGAUAUGAGUCCCCCAAAUGAUUGAAAUUUGAAAUUAGUCCUCAAAUCUUGUUACUAUUUUGAAAUUAGCCCCCCGAGUCUUUAACUAAUUUGGGGACUAAUUUCAAAACACUUAGAAGCUUUGGGGGACUAAUUACAAAAUACCCGAUUCACUCACAACCUGAACUGGCUGUAUGCGAAAUUUCAUGUCCAAGUCUUAAGCUAGAUUUCCAUCACUGUCUCAAUUAUAAGAGGUGUAACAUGCAAGCUCGCAGUCAGAAGGCCCGCAAUGCUGCAAUAGUCAGCCCUCGCAUGGUUACACUCAAAAAAUUACUAAAUGAAUCAUCUUAUCUCAACAUCAAUCUCAAACCUAAUAGAGGACCCUCUUAUAUCAUCUAUGCCAUUUCUAUUCAUAUCAAACCAAACAUCUUUCUGUUAGUUGGAAGGCAAAUGGUCCAGAUCAGUAAACUAUUCCUCAACCUGGCUUAGUGUAAAUCAGAAGUAGUCUCAAUGUGCACAUCUAAUGGUUAAACCACCAAGAGCUUAAUCUCAUGAACUCAACCUGAGAUUAUUGAUUACACAUAAUAUCAUCACAGUAUAGUUCAUCAAUAACCACAGUAUAUCAUCAGACAUGCAUAACACAUAUAAAAGCAUCAUCACAGUAUAGUUCAUCAAUAACCACAGUAUAUCAUCAGACAUGCAUAACACAUAUAAAAGCAUCUUUUAUAUGAGAAAAAGGGCCAAUGCUAGUCGACUGAAACAGGGUUAUUAGAGCUUCAACCAACUAAAUCUUGAGUAGACAUAGUUGGGACUUCUCCUUGCAGGAUCUGCACUCUGAACUCCAAUUUAUUGCAAUCCAUCAAUUCAUAGACACAACCAUCCCCAACCUUCAGUUUAUUGUCAAGUGCAAAAUCUCUCCAUCCAGUGUUUAUUCUCUUCAAGGUUAGUUGUCCUGAGUAUUUCGCCUUCCACCUCUUGCCUCUGCAGUAUAAGACCACAUCAACAGAAGAAUUGGGUAGAAAUCGACGGAAACACCGGGGAAUCACCUAUACAUCAAAAUAAAGAGGAAAAAAGGCUUGUGUGACUCAGUGCUUGCAUCCUUGAUAUGAUGGUUAAUAAACCAAUAACAUGCUCACAGUUCAUAAUUACGGAAGCAUAGAGAUACUGUACCAACGAGAAAGGAUCAGUGACUUGGGUCUUCACUACGAUUGACGUGAAGUAUGGAUUUCCUGAAAGUGGGGCUAUUCUAUCUCGCUUGCAGGAUGUGCGAAGAGGAAAAAUUGUGUACCAGCAGAAAAGUCGCACGAACUUUGGGUGAAGAAGUUUUGAUCUUGCAGAGGAACUUGACAGAGAGCCGGGGUGCUAGAACCGCAUCUUGAAGGGUUUUUCUGUAAAUUUUGUUUAACGAG